rnacentral:tRNA from 1 species
GGGCCGGUAGUGACAAUGGGAUCACGCCUGUUUUGCACACAGGAAUUCCGGGUUCGAAUCCCGGUUGGUCCAC